AAAUUACCCAAUCCCGACACGGGGAGGUAGUGACAAUAAAUACUGAUACAGGGCUCUUUUGGGUCUUGUAAUUGGAAUGAGUACAAUUUAAAUCCCUUAACGAGGAACAAUUGGAGGGCAAGUCUGGUGCCAGCAGCCGCGGUAAUUCCAGCUCCAAUAGCGUAUAUUAAAGUUGUUGCAGUUAAAAAGCUCGUAGUUGAACCUUGGGCCUGGCUGGCCGGUCCGCCUCACCGCGUGCACUGGUCCGGCCGGGCCUUUCCUUCUGGGGAGCCGCAUGCCCUUCACUGGGUGUGUCGGGGAACCAGGACUUUUACUUUGAAAAAAUUAGAGUGUUCAAAGCAGGCCUAUGCUCGAAUACAUUAGCAUGGAAUAAUAGAAUAGGACGUGUGGUUCUAUUUUGUUGGUUUCUAGGACCGCCGUAAUGAUUAAUAGGGAUAGUCGGGGGCAUCAGUAUUCAAUUGUCAGAGGUGAAAUUCUUGGAUUUAUUGAAGACUAACUACUGCGAAAGCAUUUGCCAAGGAUGUUUUCAUUAAUCAGUGAACGAAAGUUAGGGGAUCGAAGACGAUCAGAUACCGUCGUAGUCU
rnacentral:rRNA from 1 species